UCUGUUUAGUACUUCUGUACUCUCUAACCAGUUUCUGUUCUAAAACACUGUCAUGUUUUACUUUCAUACAGGGAAACAGAGAAGGGUAUGUGUGUGUUUUAAAAGAUAUGAAUAUACAGAAGGAUUUAGUUUCCUUAUCAGUUUUGUUUAGACUGAAGACAUGAUCAUUUUGUAUUCCAUUAUUACAGAUUGCAAAUGACAUACAAGAGCUGCGACAGUCGUGUGUGUGUAAAAAGACUCAGAGGCUUGAUCCUCAGCCCUCAAGGCCUUAGCAGCAAAGAUUCCUCAAACACAAACCCUGAAGAUUGCUAAUGUACGUUUACCUGGUUUCUGACUAGCUGACAUCCCUACAGCAACUGCUAGUAACUGUAAUAGAUGACUAGUCUAUGCUUCUUCAAUGAAAAAAAGAUUUGUUUUCUAGCUGUGGUACUGUAUGCAGUUAUGGGGAAAACAAAACACCCCCCAUAAGUUCUUUUUAUAUAUCAGGGACUAAUAACCACUGUUUGGUUCACAGCAACUUCUAGAAACACACUCAGGUGAGAACCAAAAAAAACCACAUUCUGACAUGUAAUCAUUUUUUCCCUAAACAUGAACCAACAUUCUGAACAUUUAGCAUCAUUGUCCUGUUUCAUGACCUGAAAGCUCAGAUUAAACUGCUGGACAGAUGAUCUCAAAUUUCUCAAGAAUAUUCUGGUAAUAAAGUGGACUUCAUCAACUGUCUCACUGACUGCAUGAGUUCCAGGUCCUGUAGAUCAGCAAGCCCAAAUCAUCAUCCCCCCAUGCUUCACAGUUGGUUUAAUCUGCUUACAGAGGCUUAAGAUGUUGCUUUGGGGUUUUCUUUACAUGUCUGAGAAUUAAACAGUGUGAGCUUGGACUGAAUUUGCUGAGACGCUCACUCCUCAGAUAUACAGAGCAGCAGUAUUGAAGAGCAGCUGUAUCUCCCCACAUGUAAACAGUCCUGUAGAAUGAUGAAUUUGAAAUUAUAUAGAGACGGCCUUAUAAUCAUUCACAGACUGAUGAGCAGCAACAGUUUCUCUGAGUCCUGGCUGAUGUCCUUUCUUCUUGGCAUGAUGUAGACACACACACGAGUGAUCCUGUACACCAAACUGCCCAAAGUUCUGCUUUUACAGACAUAGUCACACUUCAUGAUGAUGAACUAAUUUUGUUUAUUUCAUUCGAAACCUGGCUGCUAAUUACUCUCUUAUUAAUGGUGCAGGUAGGAAAGGUGUAUGUAUUUUUGGGGUAUAAAAUGAGUACAGUACCUGAGGUUAUUAGUUUCUUUAUAGAAGUUGGUGAGAACCACACAAUUAUUGUUUAGGUCCUGAUAAAUAAAAAUAUAGAAUUGAAGAAAGGUGUCCUUUUUCCCCAUAACUGUAAGUAACUGAAUGCACUAGUUUGAUCCCCUUAGAGAUUUAUUUUAAAGAUGUGUUAUAUUUUUAUAUUUAAUUUUUUUAAUACACAUUAUUUAUUUAUUUAUUUAUUUAUUUAUUUAUUUAACAAUCCUUUGUGUUAUACUUGAAUCUCUUGUCUUCAUGUGUGCUUUAUCAUUCUAAUCGUUUUUAUUAUUUAAUUGCCAGGUAUUAUGACAGGAUUUUAUGUUAUUGCCUAUUUUAAAACAUAUUGUAGGAUAAAGAUUAGGAUUUAAACUCAGUCUGGCAUUAAAAACAUUUCUUGUAUUGUUUAAUCAUCUGUCAGAUUCACCUGUGAUGUGUGAGGGAUGUGAAAGUAAAAAAAAAAAGUAUGUCUAUAAUUGUGUAUAAUGUUCAGUACAGGAACACAGGAAAUGUCACUGUAUACUUUUCAAACUUCAAAUAAGGUGUAAAGUGUCAAUGACACUGAGAAAGGCACCGAACUUUUACAUGGACAUUUUCAUUUUAGAUAGAUAGAUAGAUAGAUAGAUAGAUAGAUAGAUAGAUAGAUAGAUAGAUAGAUAGAUAGAUAGAUAGAUAGAUAGAUAGAUAGAUAGAUAGAUAGAUAGAUAGAUAGAUAGGUGGGUAGUCUUUUGCCCAGCCUUAAUAUAUAUAUAUUGGUUCUUCUGCAUUUCAAAAGAAUCUAAAAAGCAGCAGGAAUCAUGAUGUGCUGUGUCUUAAAACACUGAAUUCUUUGUAUAUUCUAUGUAAAAUGUGGCAUAUAUGAAUAAAUGAAUCUAAUUGUGAGUACAGAGUAGUAUUCAGUGUAACAGAAAUACAUUCCGUAUAACAAAAAUGUUGCAUGUUGCUUGUUAUUGUUGCCAAAUCUCAUGUACUGGUCCUAUAAUAUAUUCAGUCAUGUGAACACAGUG